AGUGAACGCUGGCGGCAGGCCUAACACAUGCAAGUCGAACGGCAGCACAGUAAGAGCUUGCUCUUACGGGUGGCGAGUGGCGGACGGGUGAGGAAUACAUCGGAAUCUACUUUUUCGUGGGGGAUAACGUAGGGAAACUUACGCUAAUACCGCAUACGACCUACGGGUGAAAGCAGGGGAUCUUCGGACCUUGCGCGAUUGAAUGAGCCGAUGUCGGAUUAGCUAGUUGGCGGGGUAAAGGCCCACCAAGGCGACGAUCCGUAGCUGGUCUGAGAGGAUGAUCGGCCACACUGGAACUGAGACACGGUCCAGACUCCUACGGGAGGCAGCAGUGGGGAAUAUUCGACAAUGGGCGCAAGCCUGAUCCGGCCAUACCGCGUGGGUGAAGAAGGCCUUCGGGUUGUAAAGCCCUUUUGUUGGGAAAGAACAGCAGCAGGUUAAUACCCCGCUGUUCUGACGGUACCCAAAGAAUAAGCACCGGCUAACUUCGUG
rnacentral:rRNA from 1 species